GGAGAGAUGUCCGAGUGGUUGAAGGAGCACGCCUGGAAAGUGUGUAUACGUUAACCCGUAUCGAGGGUUCGAAUCCCUCUCUCUCCGCCA
rnacentral:tRNA from 3 species